rnacentral:rRNA from 1 species
GAUGAACGCUAGCGGCAGGCCUAACACAUGCGAGUCGAGGGAGGAGCUUUCGGGCUUCGACCGGCGUACGGGUGCGUAACGCGUAUACAAUCUGCCUUUCACAUAGGGAUAGCCCGAAGAAAUUUGGAUUAAUACCUAAUGGUAUAUAGAGGUGGCAUCACCUUUAUAUUAAAGCUGAGGCGGUGAAAGAUGAGUAUGCGUUCUAUUAGCUAGUUGGAGAGGUAACGGCUCCCCAAGGCGACGAUAGAUAGGGGUUCUGAGAGGGAUAUCCCCCACACUGGUACUGAGAUACGGACCAGACUCCUACGGGAGGCAGCAGUGAGGAAUAUUGGACAAUGGUCGGAAGACUGAUCCAGCCAUGCCGCGUGCAGGAAGACGGCCUUAUGGGUUGUAAACUGCUUUUGCAGGGGAAGAAUAAGGACUACGCGUAGUUUGAUGACGGUACUCUGCGAAUAAGCAUCGGCUAACUCCGUG